GCUGGUUGCGGUGGCACACGCCUGUAGUCCCAGCUACUCGGGAGGCUGAGGAGGUAGGAUCGCUUGAGCCCCGGAAUUCUGGGCUGUAGUGCGCUAUGCUGAUCAGGUGUCCCACUGAGUUCGGCAUCAAUAUGGUGACCUCCCAGGAGCAAGGGACUGCUAGGUUGCCUAAGGAGAGGUGAACCAGCCCAGGUUGGAAACAGAGCAGGUCAAAACUCCUGUGCUGAUCAGUAGUGGGAUCACGCCUGUGAAUAGCCACUGCACUCCAGCCUGGGCAACAUAGAGAGACCCUGUCUCUA
ensembl:misc_RNA Metazoa_SRP Metazoan signal recognition particle RNA